AGUUGUUCGUGGUAAGUUAUUAACAGUGUUCAUCGCCUCAGUUGUAAACAUUAAGUCGACCAAAAUGUGUUAAUUAAAAUACAAACUUGGAUGAUUUAAUACUUCACUACGUCACUUGUACGGCUCCAAUACGCUGUUAAUGUAGUGUUAAGACAACUACCAUAUUGCAGCCUCGCUGAUCAUGGUUAAUGAAGUUCAUCAUGUCAUUGGUCGAGGACGGUGACGUGAAGAUGUAAGAUGUGGGCCACAAGACGAAGGUUUGUUAUGGUUAACGGGUCUCUUGCUGCACCACAUUGGAAACUCUCUGCUAUAACAUAAGAUACUGUGAUGUCACAUCUCAAGACCAAGUGUAACUAAGUAGAAGUUCACAAUGUCAAGCAGAGAUAAAAAGUUCUCCUGUGAGGAAUGUGGCAAACAGUUUGGCUUCAAGUCUACUCUUCAGAGACAUUUACUUGUACACAAUGGUAUGAAGGAGUUUGAAUGUGAGGAAUGUGGAAAAUGUUUCUCACGGAAGGGUACUCUCAAGACACACAUCCUUGUACAUAAUGGAG